rnacentral:SRP_RNA from 1 species
CCGCACACACCGGGGCGUUAGCGGUGCCUUGUACCCGUGAUCCGCUACAACGGGGGUGAUACGGGCGAGGAGGGACGUGCGCGCGGCGAGGCAGCCGUUAUCAGGGCGAUGAAGGACCGGUACUGCGCAACGGAGGACCGUGAACCAUGUCAGGCGGGGGACCGAGCAGCAUUAAGCGGAAACCAUCGUGUGCCGCAGAGCUGCCGAUCCUGAGCCCGAACCACGGCAAGGCAGCCGGGCGCACGCUUUCGAAUCGUCCGUGUGCGG